UCAGUUUAUAGCAUAACAAAUGCUUUUCACUUACACUGAAAAAAUAGUUUAUUAAAAAACUUAAACUGAU
rnacentral:tRNA from 1 species